rnacentral:rRNA from 1 species
UACGUAGGGGGCAAGCGUUGUCCGGAAUCAUUGGGCGUAAAGCGCACGUAGGCGGCCCGGUAAGUCCGUUGUGAAAGUCAGAGGCUCAACCUCUGGAGGCCAAUGGAUACUGCCGGGCUAGAGUCCGGAAGAGGCGAGUGGAAUUCCUGGUGUAGCGGUGGAAUGCGCAGAUAUCAGGAGGAACACCGGUGGCGAAGGCGCCUAUCUGGCCCGAUACUGACGCUGAGGCGCGAAAGCUAGGGGAGCAAACGGG